GCCUUGCGGGAUGAUGACGUGAUUGCGCAUCUCCUUGCUAGUCUUGGCCCUGACUAUGAUCCCUCUGUCACCUCGAUGACUACCAAGAGUGAAGCCCUCAUGCUUGAUGAUGUAUUUGUACAUCUAAUGACAUUUGAAG